UACGGAGGGUGCGAGCGUUGUCCGGAAUCAUUGGGCGUAAAGGGCGCGUAGGUGGCUCGCCAAGCGGGCGGUGAAAGCCUGGGGCUCAACCCCGGGUCGGCCGUGCGAACUGGCGAGCUGGAGCACUGUAGGGGCAGGCGGAAUUCCGGGUGUAGCGGUGGAAUGCGUAGAGAUCCGGAAGAACACCGGUGGCGAAGGCGGCCUGCUGGGCAGUGGCUGACACUGAGGCGCGACAGCGUGGGGAGCAAACAGG
rnacentral:rRNA from 1 species